rnacentral:rRNA from 1 species
GACGAACGCUGGCGGCGUGCUUAACACAUGCAAGUCGAACGGAAAGGCCCUGCUUUUGUGGGGUGCUCGAGUGGCGAACGGGUGAGUAACACGUGAGUAACCUGCCCUUGACCUUGGGAUAACUUCAGGAAACUGGGGCUAAUACCGGAUAGGAGCUCCUGCUGCAUGGUGGGGGUUGGAAAGUUUCGGCGGUUGGGGAUGGACUCGCGGCUUAUCAGCUUGUUGGUGGGGCAGUGGCUUACCAAGGCUUUGACGGGUAGCCGGCCUGAGAGGGUGACCGGCCACAUUGGGACUGAGAUACGGCCCAGACUCCUACGGGAGGCAGCAGUGGGGAAUAUUGCACAAUGGGCGGAAGCCUGAUGCAGCAACGCCGCGUGCGGGAUGACGGCCUUCGGGUUGUAAACCGCUUUCGCCUGUGACGAAGCGUGAGUGACGGUAAUGGGUAAAGAAGCACCGGCUAACUACGUG